rnacentral:lncRNA from 1 species
CCGCCGCGUCCUUUUCGCCCUUCCGCUUCUUCUUCGCCUCUUCCACAACGAUCCGGGAAUCUCCGCCGUCGUAUCCGUCGAUCGAACGCCUCUUCAUCCCUCCUCCGUCGAGCACCUCCUUGGGGGAACGGGAUUGGGCCGAAGGGAUUUCGAUCUGGAAAAGGGAAUCCUUUGUUCUUCUCGCGUCCCAGCCACGGGGCUUUAAAGAAGGCUUUACUUAAUCACGGGCUUUCCGGGAAACACUUACGAAACCAGGCAUGGAGAUUGGGGGUAAUAACGGGAGUGCCCGGCGGUUUGGCUUCUUCCUCCUCCUGACGACAACAAGCCGAAGC